UCUCAUUUGUUUUUGUCACCAUGGUUAUUACAAACAUAUUUGUAAAAUUGUACAACGAACGUCUCUGCCAAACGAAAUUUUGCAAUUAUGGCGUUAAAAGUUGGACUGUUUCUUGUCAUUCUCGUGUUAACUGCUUGUGUGCAACGUUCAACUGGGGCAAGCGUGCAGAAACGGAACGUCGUUCCAGUGACUGAGGUGGAGGACGAUGUCGUUGAAAGUCAGAAACACGUAGAGGACCACAUCGUCGGAUCCCAUGAAGAUCCUAUGCGGGAUGAUGAAGUAUCUGGCGGAGAGGUGGCAGUGUUGCAUUGAUUGCACUUGUAUCUUUUUCUAUUUUGUUAACCUGUAGACAAAUUUUUAUCGAACUAUAUACUGGUAUAUAAUACAUAAAUUUGAAAAUUUA